UUCAACAUCCUGUAUCUUUUCCACCAGUAUUUGUUUUCCGAGACUUUCCUUCUCUCCUUCUUCUUCACUAUUUCUCUCCAUCUUCACUCUACCCAUCCCCAACUCCAAUUCGAAACCCUAGCUCCGCCAUCCUUUCUCCGCCGCCGCCACUUCAUCCCUAUUUUAUAUUUACUAAGUUAUAUUAGGGUUUUGAAACAGUUUUUAUUUUGAUUUUUGCAGAAUGUUUUUCGAUGAUUUUAACACACAAAAUACUCGUGACUGCAACAAACUCACAACAGCAAGACACGGAUCCUAUGGUUGAGUUCGAUGGUGAAGAAACUGGAUCUUGAUCUAGAUCUAAGGUUUUCAAGUUCCAUGUCGUAAACAAAGAUCUGUUGUAGAUUAGGCAGUUAGUUUCAGUAUGUUAUUUAGAGUUUAAAUGUCAUAAAUAUGGGUUUUGGUUUUUGAUAUUAUUUAUUCGUACUUUCUAUUUCAGAAUUUUAGUUAUCUUUUGGAUUGAAAGUGUCUAAGAAAAGAACAGAAAAGAAGUGGAAAGGUUCGUCAUGUAUAACUACUUUAGAUGAUUUCCUGAAUGUUUAAGUUAGUUUCACAAUGUUUUGGAAAAAGACACUCAUUCGGGUGAUUUCUUUAAAUUAAUUAUACAAUGUUUCUACUGCGAUAUAUUUUAUGUAUCCUAAGUUGUGAUUUGCUUCAUUUGACAAAGCUUUGUAUCUUUAUUUAUUUAUAUGUAUGAUUAAUUCAUUCAAGGUAAAUGUUUUGUAAAGUACUUAGUAUGUUUGGUGAUUGAUGAAGCUCACAGAGGAUUAGGAAAUUACUUCUAUUGUGAAGCACUUUGUGAGGUUUGGUUUGUUCAGAGGUUUUUAGUACUUCUGGUCUUAACUCUAAUUUAAAAUUUAGUACUAUAUGCUCAUUCAUUUUUAUACACACAACACAUAAUGGAUUCAUCUCUGCUAUAUUCUUUGCAUAAUGAUAAAGGAAAAUUAGAAGAAAGCUUUGCACCGAAUGGAUUUCGAAACUAUUUCACAAGCUGCUGUCAAUCAAAUGGUGUACGUUGCUCCGAGUAAUUCUUAUGAUUUUCUAUUUAGUUGACGCAGCUUAUAAACAUAAGGACUUUGCUGCUCACUACAGUCCCCAUCUUGAUAGUAUCUCUUCUCAUAUUAGUCAUAGGGAGUCUGGGCAGCACUACAAAUGCAUCAAUCUCAACCAUUAGUGUUGUUGUUUAUUUCUAUUUCUUUGUCAUGGGAUUUGGACCAGUUCCGAAUAUUCUUUGUGUCGAGAUCUUCCCAACUCGAGUCUGUGGUCUCUGCAUUGCCAUAUGUGCUCUUACCUUUUGGAUAUGUAACAUCAUUGUCAACUAUUCACUCCAAGUUAUGCUGAAUUCUAUAGGCCUUUGUGGUGUGUUUGGUCUAUAUGCAGCCGUCGGAGCAAAACAGGCUGAGGCAACCAAUCAUAACUGACUGAAGGGAACUGGCCUGCUUUAUUUACUGAAUGUAUGAAAAAGUCUUAAUGGAAGAUCUUAAUGAACACUACAAUAGUGUUUGGAAAAGAGCUAUGGGUACUGUAAGUCGGGUCUACUUUCUUGAUCCAUGGAGUUCUACCAUAGUUGUUAUAAUUGUUAUAAUUUUCAUCAUCUUUAACUUUGAUCGCACUGCUCAUCUAAUGUGUUUUAGUUACUUUAGAAAUAUAUGCAAUGAAUAACCUGUACUAGAGUUAUUAUUGCACAUGUUUGAUAAUUUCUUGUCAUGAACUCUUGGAAGUAUGAUAAAAUGAAUGAUAACCUUUUAAAAAUCAUGAACUCUUGGAAGUAUGAUAAAAUGAAUGAUAACCUUUUAAAAGUAAGUUAAAUAUUUUACUCUAACCAUUCAGUUAAUCCAAUGUAUCCAUUCCAAUAAUCUAAUUUACUAAAAAAAAAAGUUAAAACCACUUACCACAAUGAAGUCAAAAGCACAACCCGUGUCUAUUGCUCUUUGCCAAAAAAUUAAAGAAUUAUUAUCACUUUAAAUUAAAAUAGAUAUAAAAUAAAUGUUAGAAACCAAUAGAAUAAAUUCAUGUAAACACUUUGACAAAAAUUAUCUUGACUUAUAUUUCAACAAAAAUUUGAUGAAUGACAAAAUUAGAAUCACUCGAAUUUACUAUUUUCACGGGUCACUAUCACCAUUUUACAUUUUUUUUUUAUUUUAAUCAAUAAAAUAUUUGUAAAUAUUUAUAAUUAUUAGUGAUAUUCGUAAAAAUUUGUAGUAUUAGAUGAAUCCUAUAAAAACUCAUGUUUUCUUUUCAAAUGAGAUCCUAUAAUUAUCACCCGACCAAUAUUCAUUUAAGAUUUAGAUGAUGCACCAUUGUUCAUCAUAUGACCAAUAUAUUGAAUUUUUUUGUAUCUAGGACAUGUUUUAUCUAUUCUAUUUGUUUAUUAUCACUAAAAAUACUAAUUAAUCUAUUUUUUAACUUCAAUAACUUUUUAUUUAACGAGUCUAUAUCAAAUUAUUACCAUUAUUUUCAAAUAUCAAUUUUUUUCUCCAUGUCACAAGUUUUUUUAAAAUAUUU